UAUCAUGUUACUAUAAUAUACUUGUACUAAGUAGAUUAUAUGUGUAUGCCCAUUAAUUAAUAACCUAAUCGUAGAAAAGAGCAUUGUUUUACUACUUUUUUACUAUACAAAUCCAAAUUCUUGAUUCUCCCACCACCAAAAAUGGCUGCAAACCUUGCAAUAAUCAUGGUAACAAUCCUAUUCCUAGUCAUUCAUCAUCAAACCACUCCCACCACGGCUGCUACAAACGUCGUGAAAACCGAGGUUUUCCGAUCGCCAGAGAUGGUGAUGGAGCCCGGAUUAGUCUCGAACAAGGACUACUUCAACGUCGAAUUCCCACGUGGACACAUCGGGCUGAAGAGCUUCGACGCGGAGUUAGUCGAUGAGAGAGGGAAUCCGGUGCCUCUCCACGAAAUUUAUCUCCAUCACUGGCUUCUCAACCGAUACUUUGCUCGGAAAAACAGUAGCGGCGUUGAUGAUCUGAGGAUCGUCAGAAACAGUGGGAUUGCCUCAGUAUUUUGGUGUGGGAGCUGAAACGCGCAGAACAUGGACUUAUAUUCCUCAUCCUUACGCAAAAUCCAAGUCGGAGAUCCGGCCACUAUCCCGGAAGAUUGAAUAUGGAGUUGAAUCUUGUGGUGGUGGGAGUUGAGAAAGAUGGCUGCGUUGAUACGAAAAGUAGUGUAUGGGGUAAAACACCAAAAUGCCGCAGGUAUAUGGCCAGGGAGGAAGAACAUCGAAGCCAAUAUAUGGGGAAGGAAAUGAAGCUGGAAACGAGGCUGGCUUUAUCGUGGGGAUGUCCACGCGUUACCCGACACCAGUCAAGAUUUCAGCGGGAGAGAGACGCUCACUCUUGUAUAGUAGCAUUGAAAGCCAUAGUGGAGUCAUGGCCUUGUUUUACCUCUUACUUCCCAAAGCCUCUUCCAACUCUGGUCAGUUUUUUUACAUGCCUUCCCAAUUACACCAAAAACAAUUACUAUUAAUUCCAUAGAUGUAUCAUUUAUUUUUUAAUUUGGAUCACAACUUACACGUGUCUAAGUUUACGAUGCUGCUCCAAUUCGUUUGCCCGAUUGUCCUCUUGGGAGUUGUUGUUAUUGUUGUCGUUGUCGUUGUCGCGUGGAAGGGUAGAAUUGGAAAUUCAGAAGGUUACGAAGCUAUACCAUGAGCUUGUGAUCAAUAUUUAUGUUGUCUUAUUAAUUUUGUGGACCUAAUGUGUAGUUAAUUUAUCCUUCGAAGAUGUGAUCACAAUAUUUUUAUUUUUGAAUAAAAAAAGCAAUAAUUUACAGU